AACUGCGAUAAGUAGUGUGAAUUGCAUUCAGUGAAUCAUCGAAUCUUUGAACGCACAUUGCGCCCCUUGGUAUUCCAUGGGGCAUGCCUGUUCGAGCGUCAUUUGUACCCUCAAGCUCUGCUUGGUGUUGGGUGUUUGUCCCGUCUCCGCGCGUGGACUCGCCCCAAAGUGAUUGGCAGCCGGCGUACUGGUCCCGGAGCGCAGCACAUGUCGCGCAAACGAGUGCCUUGGUACGGCGGCGUCCAUAAGCCCCUCUCUCACGCUCUUGACCUCGGAUCAGGUAGGGAUACCCGCUGAACUUAAGC
rnacentral:misc_RNA from 1 species